GCAAAUUCAGUCAAUUCGAAACAAGCUCCGCAGAAAACCUAAAGCCCGAAGCCCUAGUCUAGCCGAAAUUCAAUCCGAAGCCUAGCCAAGAUAAAAUUAGGGCUAAACAUUCAAAUCGACAGAGCCGGAGCUAGAGUCCCAGCCGAGAUAGAAUUAGGGAUAAGCAUUCGAAUCGGCGGACUAAGAGUCGGAGCCCUAGCUGGAGCCGCGACAUGCGGUCGAGGCGGAGCCGUGAAGAUGGGUCGAGGCGUCAAUAUCGGUCUAGGAGCAGGAGCAGAGAAAGGAAUAGAGAGAGAAGUAACAGGCAAGGAUCGCCCGAGUAGCGUAGGUUCGAUAAAGGGUAGAAGCAGAAAGCGGUGCACGGUGUUGGUAGAUCUGAUUUUGCUAAAUUGAUUGACGGUUAUGAUAGUAUGGUAUGUUCUUCAGGAAAUUCAUAUCUCUUGCACUGUUAAUCAUAAUCUAAACCUUAUUUUUUUAAUUUCUUCAAGUUCUAAUAUUGUAUUUAGACAUGGAUAUAUGAAGCUUCUAGCUGAAUAUAUUGCAUUAGAAUUUAUACUUAUUUUCUAUUGAUUCUUUGUGGAUUCCAUUGAUUGUACUGUUCUUAAUUAGUAUAAUAGACACCAGCUGAAAGAGUCAAAGCUAAGAUGAAGCUUUGGCUUUCAAAAUGAGGGAGUUCAAAAUGUUGUUACAUAGAUACUCUUUUGAUUGUACCUGACUGAAGUCUUGUUUUCUCAGGUAACCAUCAUGAGUUGUAUGCUGAAUCUAGAAUAAAUAUUACUAGUUCUCGUUGCCUUAUGGUGAUAAUAGGUCUCUGAACUAGAAGGAGCAACUAGGUCACGUCGUGCAAUGAUUUUGAGCAACUCCAGAGUUGCAGAUGGUGCCUCUGAUAUUCUGGCUUUCAUAAGGCUUCUUAGAUAAGGCUUCAGACUUGCGGUGUUGGUAGGUCUUCCCUUCUAGUGCCAAUCUAAUCUAUAUCCUAUCAACGCCGGUUCUGCUCAUCUCUAUCUUAUAGUGUAAUAUAUGUGCUGCAAAGAAAAGAUAAGGUUGCAGCAAGGCACUAAUGAAGCCAAAUCUCCCACUGUAAGUGAUCAAAUCUCAAAUUUGAUCAAAAACUCAACCAAAAUACAUUGCAGAAGCAGAUUUUUUGGUUAAUUAGAAUUAAUGCACCAACGUCGCAGUCGUUCUUGAAUUAUGUAUUAUUGGUAUUGGUCUAUAGAAGCAUUAUGCUCUAUUGAAGACGACCUCUGAAGGUUUGUGGUGGAUUAAAUGAGCCGUACGUUGAGCUGAAGAGGCUUGUGAAUUCACAAGAAAUGUUGUACCAUAUGGCUAGCUAGUUGCAUAUUUAAUAUGUUUAGUAUUUUUGUAAGGCAUAAUAGUAUAGAUAAAGCAGUUGUUGAAUUUUGGCUAUAUUCAAAUCUUGUAUGAAUUCUUUUUUAUGAUAAUAAUAUAAAAUUAAAUAUU